GAACCAGUACCGUGAGGGAAAGGUGAAAAGCACCCCGGAAGGGGAGUGAAAGAGAUCCUGAAACCGUGUGCCUACAAGUAGUCAGAGCCCGUUAACGGGUGAUGGCGUGCCUUUUGUAGAAUGAACCGGCGAGUUACGAUCCCGUGCAAGGUUAAGCAGAAGAUGCGGAGCCGCAGCGAAAGCGAGUCUGAAUAGGGCGCAUGAGUACGUGGUCGUAGACCCGAAACCAGGUGAUCUACCCAUGUCCAGGGUGAAGUUCAGGUAACACUGAAUGGAGGCCCGAACCCACGCACGUUGAAAAGUGCGGGGAUGAGGUGUGGGUAGGGGUGAAAUGCCAAUCGAACCUGGAGAUAGCUGGUUCUCUCCGAAAUAGCUUUAGGGCUAGCCUCAAGGUAAGAGUCUUGGAGGUAGAGCACUGAUUGGACUAGGGGCCCCUACCGGGUUACCGAAUUCAGUCAAACUCCGAAUGCCAAUGACUUAUCCUUGGGAGUCAGACUGCGAGUGAUAAGAUCCGUAGUCGAAAGGGAAACAGCCCAGACCGCCAGCUAAGGUCCCAUAAUAUUGCUAAGUGGGAAACGAUGU
rnacentral:rRNA from 1 species